AUUGAACGCUGGCGGCAGGCCUAACACAUGCAAGUCGAACGGAAGAACGGAGCUUGCUUGUGGAUUCAGCGGCGGAAGGGGGAGUAAUGCCUAUGAAUCUCCCUACUUGUGGUUUAGAACGUCCUGAAGCAGGCGCUAAUACCGCAUAAGAGCAGAUGCAGAAAGAGGGGGAGCGUCGGACCUUACGGUAUCAGAUGAGUUUAGGCCGGAUUAGCUAGUUGGUGGGGUAAAGGGCUACCAAGCCGACCAUCCGUAACUGGUCUGAGAGGGUGAUCAGUCACACUGGAACUGGGCCACGCUCCAGACUCCUAAGGGACGGAGCAGUGGCGAAUAUUGGACAAUGGGCGAAAGCCUGAUCCAGCCAUCCCGCGUGUGUGAAGAAGGUCUUCGGUUUGUAAAGCCCUUUUAGUGGGGAGGAAGGGCAGUAGGUUAAUACCUUGCUUUUUUGACGUUACCAAGAGAAUAAGCACCGGCUAACUUCGUG
rnacentral:rRNA from 1 species